rnacentral:rRNA from 1 species
UGAGGAACAUUGGGCAAUGCCCGCAAGGGUGACCCAGCAACGCCGCGUGGAGGAUGAAUGUCAUAAGAUUGUAAACUCCUGUUAGAGGGGAAGAAUAGUACCGGUUGGACCGGUAUAUGACUGUACCCUCAGAGAAAGCCCCGGCUAACUACGUGCCAGCAGCCGCGGUAAUACGUAGGGGGCAAGCGUUGUCCGGAUUUACUGGGUGUAAAGGGCGCGCAGGCGGGAUAAAAAGUCAGUGGUGAAAUCCUACAGCUUAACUGUAGAACUGCCUUUGAUACUUUUAUUCUUGAGUUCGGGAGAGAGAGACGGAAUUCCAGGUGUAGUGGUGAAAUACGUAGAUAUCUGGAAGAACACCAGUUGCGAAGGCGGUCUCUUGGUCCGACACUGACGCUGAGGCGCGAAAGCGUGGGGAGCAAACA